AUUGAACGCUGGCGGCAUGCUUUACACAUGCAAGUCGAACGGUAACAGGGAGCUUGCUCCGCUGACGAGUGGCGAACGGGUGAGUAAUAUAUCGGAACGUACCCAAGAGUGGGGGAUAACGUAGCGAAAGUUACGCUAAUACCGCAUACGAUCCAAGGAUGAAAGCAGGGGACCUUCGGGCCUUGUGCUCCUGGAGCGGCCGAUAUCUGAUUAGCUAGUUGGUGAGGUAAAGGCUCACCAAGGCGACGAUCAGUAGCUGGUCUGAGAGGACGACCAGCCACACUGGAACUGAGACACGGUCCAGACUCCUACGGGAGGCAGCAGUGGGGAAUUUUGGACAAUGGGCGCAAGCCUGAUCCAGCAAUGCCGCGUGAGUGAAGAAGGCCUUCGGGUUGUAAAGCUCUUUUGUCAGGGAAGAAACGGGAUUGGCUAAUAUCCAGUCCUAAUGACGGUACCUGAAGAAUAAGCACCGGCUAACUACGUG
rnacentral:rRNA from 1 species